AGCUUUGUGCAGUGGCAGUUUUGUAGCCAAUGAGGAUCAUCUGAGGCAUGGUCAUUGCUAAUUGAAAACUUUUCCAAAAAUCCUGCCUUGAUGACUUGAAAUAUAGUUGGCACUGGCAAUUAAAGAAAGGAAGGAAG
rnacentral:snRNA from 1 species